AGGGAAUCUUCCACAAUGGGCGCAAGCCUGAUGGAGCAACACCGCGUGAGUGAAGAAGGGUUUCGGCUCGUAAAGCUCUGUUGUUGGAGAAGAACGUUCGUGAGAGUAACUGUUCCCGCCGUGACGGUAUCCAACCAGAAAGUCCCGGCUAACUACGUGCCAGCAGCCGCGGUAACACGGAGGUGGCAAGCGUUAUCCGGAUUUAGUGGGCGUAAAGCGAGCGCAGGCGGUUGCUUAGGUCUGAUGUGAAAGCCUUCGGCUUAACCGAAGAAGUGCAUCGGAAACCGGGCAACUUGAGUGCAGAAGAGGACAGUGGAACUCCAUGUGUAGCGGUGGAAUGCGUAGAUAUAUGGAAGAACACCAGUGGCGAAGGCGGCUGUCUGGUCUGCAACUGACGCUGAGGCUCGAAAGCAUGGGUAGCGAACAGG
rnacentral:rRNA from 1 species